rnacentral:lncRNA from 1 species
ACUACUUUCAAAACUGGCUAUGCCUGAAGGAAGCUGAGGUGGAGGGCCAGGGAGACUCUGUGUGGUGCCGAAGGACGUGUCUCCCAGAAUGGACUGAACCUUGUGAUUGCYUUAGGACACCAUUUGCCAUCCAUUGAACUGUUAACAAAAACUCUAGAGAYGGGCUGGACUGAAAACAACUUGGAGCUGCUGGCACUGACAAUAUGGACAGAAAACUUUGUAACUCCAAGCUGGAGCUGAAUUUGGCUCCCAGGGUUUAAAAUUUUACUUGUACAGUUGUUAAAUUUACU